rnacentral:sRNA from 1 species
AUAAAGUAUUUUUUCCUUGUUAGAAGAUACAAAGCCAAAGACUCAUACGGACUUCGGCUACACCAUGAAAAU